rnacentral:rRNA from 1 species
CCUACGGGAGGCAGCAGUAGGGAAUAUUGCACAAUGGGCGAAAGCCUGACGCAGCGACGCCGCGUGAGGGAUGAAGGUCUUCGGAUCGUAAACCGCUGUCAGCAGGGAAGAACGGUCACUGUGCUAAUCAGCAGUGAAUUGACGGUACCUGCAAAGGAAGCACCGGCUAACUCCGUGCCAGCAGCCGCGGUAAUACGGAGGAUGCGAGCGUUAUCCGGAUUUAUUGGGUUUAAAGGGUGCGUAGGCUGGCUUUUAAGUCAGCGGUCAAAUCGUGGGGCUCAACCCCAUCCAGCGUUUGAUACUGGGGAUCUAGAGUGUGUGAGAGGUAUGCGGAAUGCGUGGUGAAGCGGUGAAAUGCAUAGAUAUAACGCAGAACCCCGAAUGCGAAGGCAGCAUACCGGUGCUAAACUGACGCUCAGGCACGAAAGCGUGGGUAUCGAACAGGAUUAGAUACCCGUGUAGUC